GGGCCGGCCCCCCAAGAUAUUUUUCAUGAAGCUCCCAGUUUCAAAGUCUCAUCAGAUUACAUUCUCUAUAAAUGAUCCUUUGUAGACAUGAUUUUCCUAGAGGGAGGUGUGGAGAAAGUGGCU